rnacentral:misc_RNA from 1 species
GGGUAAAGUGUAUGAAAUUUAAAUCUGUCAUUGUGAUUUUAUUGUCAUAUUAUUUUAUAUUCCUUGCAUUCUCAUUUGUAAUCAUGUCACGUUUUCGAGAUAUUUUCAUUAUUAAUUAGUAAAGUUACAAUCAAAGUGAUAUCCUAAUUUAAUUAGUUUUAUUCUAUUAAAAGAAGUAGUCAUAAUACUAAAAUACUGAUAUUGCGCUUUCAUUGCGUUACGAGGUAUACAGAAUGGCUUGCGUUGAAAAUAUACCACCAAGGAAUGCCGAUUCGGAGAUGGAAGAAGGCGAAAUAGUUGAUGACCUCGAUGAUCUUUCGGAUAUAUCCUCAGAUGAGGAGUUUCUACUGCGUCAGAGAUUACAUGUUCUUGAAACCUACAACAAUGUCCUUGAGAGAAAGAAAGCCAAUAGCAUAUCAAUUGGAUCAGAUUUAGAUGACAACAACACAAAUUUAAAAAAAAUUAGCAAUAACAAACAUCCUAAAUCACAUUCUAAACAAAAAAGAAAAAAAGAGUUUUCACCUAUCAGAAUUUCAACACGAAAUAAGGAAUAUAAAAAAAAGAGUCAUCGCAAGAAAAAAUUACAAACCAAAGUAAUAAGUGAAACAAGCGAAGAAUCAGAUGAUGAGUAUAGGAAUAAAAGAAGAAAAUUAGCUAAUGCUGUUUCAAUUAACAAAAUUAAAAAUGACACAUCUUUAAGUACUAGAUUGAAAAAAAUGCUUCAUAAUUCACAAGACUUAGAGCCUUUAAGAUUCAUUGAGAGCAAUGAAAUUGAAGCAAAUAGCAAUUUUAAAACAGUAGAAGACAAUUUGGUUAAUUCUUCUUUAUACAAGGAAACUUAUAAAUCUAGCAGUUUAAUUAAUGAAGUGCAAAAAGAUUUCGUAAAAAAUGCAGUUGAAAUAUGUGAGUUAAUAGAUUUAAGCAAUGAUGAUGAUAUAAAAUCUAAUCCAAUGCAGGAUACUAUUGAUUCUGCUGUUGCAGAAAAAAAUGUUGAACAUAAUAAUGAAAAAACUGUAGGCGACUCUGAUGAAGAUUUAGAAUUAUUAAGACAACAUGCCCUCAAGACAAAGUCUACAAAAGUUAAAGUAUCUCAAUCUGAAAUUGAACCUGAAAAUAAAUUAUUAUCUGAGGAUGAUGAUACAUAUACUGCUGAAUUAAGGUUAAUUUGUCUAAAGUCAGCGUAUUUAAAAAAGGCUAUUGAAAUAAAAAGAAAACAGAAGUUGAAGAAAAGACUUUCACAGUCUUCCAUUUUACAAGAUGAUAUUAUUACUGGGGAAGAUAUCUUAUCUAAUCAAAUCGAAUCACAGAAUAAUACUGAUAUAGAAUCAGUAGAUAUGGACAUAGGGUCUGACGGUGAUGAAAAAAUAAAAGAGUUAGGAAUUGAUAGUGCUAAACUUAACACAGAAAAUGAAGUUAAUUGUGAUAGUAAUGAUGAUAAACAUAUUAUAAUAAAAUCAAAGGAGGAUGAGUUAGAUGAGGAUGAAGAUUUGUUACGAGCCAAAUUAUUGACCUCUUUGAGUAAAAAUUUACCUAAUCUCAUAAAUUCUAAUAUUAUAAAUACCAUUGAGGAAGCUGCACAAGAAAAUAAAGCGAUAUCAACGGAUAAGCAACAAAUUACUAGUGUAUCUGAACAAAAGAGGUUUAUUAUCAAACUUGGAGAAUCAGAUUCAGAGGGUGAACAUGAGGCAACCAAAAAUUUAACUAAAAUGCACAUGAAACAGCAGCAAUCGGAUUUUGAACAACAACUUGAUAUGUUUUUAAAGUUUACUCGUAUGAAAGUUGAAAACCAAGAAAAUCCAAGUACUCAGCUAUCUGCACCAGUAAAGCCAUCUGAAAAAUUUGUUGCAAAGUCUGUAAAAAAUUUGCCCAAAUCGGAACAGCUUGAAUAUAAGAAUUUAGUGAAAAGAAUGGCGGAGUUGGAGAAAAUUAAGAAAGCCAGGCAAUCAUCAAUGAACCUUGUAAAUAAAGAGAAAGUUCUCUUAAAAGAAACUUUGAAGCCACACAAUGUUUCCAUGGACACUAUUAACACUUCAAGUAAUAUAGAUGAACAAAUUGCUUUGUCAAGGAAAAAAAUUGCAGAAGAGUCAGCAAAUAUGUUAAGACUGAAAGAGGAGGCGACUAAACUGUCUCAGAAAUAUAAAAUAGUUGCCACAGAACUUAGAAAUAUAACAACUGCUAUUACAUUAAACAAAAAACAACAAAGAGUUGCGCAAAAUCGAUUAUCUAAAAUAAGACUGCACCAUCAAGCACUAUUAAAAAGCUCAAAUUUUAAACAUUCCAAAAAGAAUGGUAUUGGAGUAGAUAUGUCUCGGGCAAUUAAUAAAAAUAAUACAGCAAAUAAAGUACAAAAAGAAAAUAACCCAACUAAAGAAGACUACAAGAAUCCCCAAUUAUUAAAGUCGGUGAAAGUUAGUGUUGUCAAUGAUUUAAAAGAUACCACAGUACUUAAUCCUAGGUUAUCGGUCCAAGUGGAUAUUACUAAUAACAAGAAAGUAGUUAGAAUGCCCAAUAGUCCAGUCAAAAAUACUAGUGAUUUAGCAAAUACUUUUGACAAUGAAGCAAUAAGUAUAGAAAAACAAAAUGAAAACGAAAUGUUAGAAGAAAAUGAUAAUAAUAUUUGUCAGAGGGUUGAUAAAAGUACUGAAAGAAGAAACAGUAGGGAAAUUAUGAAUGAUACGAGUCAAGGAAACAGACGGAAGAAGAAGGACGCGGAUGAUUAUAUAUCUCCAUUAGAUAUUGGAAAUUGGAAGGAGGACCCGAAUGCCUUUCUUUGCCCCUUCGAAAUCGGAGGGAGUUGCAAGGACACCGACUGCACAAAUUUACAUCUAAACAGACUUUCAGGACAGUGACAUACAUUUACAAUUUCAUUAAACAACACACACUGCCACACUCACACAUACAUUACUCAAACAAAUAUAUAUUACUCUGAUAAAUAUUAUCAUACACUAUACAUCCUCCGACCGCAAAUGGAUCUACGAUGAUGUUUGGCGUCGCUUGGUUGUGUCAUCGCACCGCCCGGCAGUGGUAAGUUUCAAGUAACUAUAUUAUUGAGUAGUGUACCAAAUAUCGUGCCAUGUGACACCUGUGACAUCGAGCUGCUGGACUUUCGGUACGCAAACAUAGCUUUAAGAUUAUUUCAUACGUUGAAAUUUAAAAUACAUAGUGUACACAGUGUAAAAAGUUAUGAUAAAAAUAAAAUAUAUAAAAUUUAUUGUAAA